GUCUCAUCAAAGAUAUUCGAUAAUAUUAGAAUGAUAUAGAGAAUAUUAGCAUGACUCCUGUGCAAAGUUGACACAAAUAAAUCAAGAAAUAAUUUGUCUCUAU